UAUAAAGAAAGGCCUUUUAUUAGAA
rnacentral:tRNA from 1 species